UUCCUCUGCCCAAUCCUCUUUCUCUCCAUUCCUUUCAUGGGUGUCGAUCUCUAAUAAAUAUCUGAUAACUCCAACUCUGUUAUUAUUUGGAUGCACUUCUCCUUUGACCUUCUCUGCCAUGUUGUGACACAGCACAAAAGCACUUGCCAGAAGCCAGGGCCAUGUCCUGGAACUUCUCAGCCGGCAGAACCAUGAGCUGAAUCAACUUCUCUUUAUAAGAAGUUCUUUUCUUUCUAUAUACCCAGUCUCAGACAUUCUUUUACAGCAACACAAAAAGUAGUAAGACAAACUCUCUUUCAACACCUGCCUCCAGGGAACUCAAACACAAUUUUAUUGUGGUCAGAUAACAUACUCUGUAUGAUUCCAAUUAUUUUAAAUAUAUUGAGACUUGUCUUGUGCCCCAAUAUAUUUCCUAUCUUAGUGCACAUGCCCUGAGCACUUGGAAAAAAAGGUAUAUUCUGCAGUUGCAGGUUCUAUAAACAUCAAUUAGGUAUUGUAAACUUGCUAUAAGAUAGGUGUGCCCUCCUUUCAUUAUGUAAACUUGUCAUAUGUAUUGCAUUUAAUACCUUACAUUCCAUAUAAGAUAAUAAGUUUUGUUAUAAAUAAUCUGGCCCUUGUAGUCUUUGAUGGUAAGUCACCAGUCAUUUUUAUUGUGUUUUGAAAUACAUUUAAUGUGUAAUUUUUCUGUCCUUGAUGAUUUUCUUUGGGUAUUUUGUUGGUUUCUUUUAAGACAGGGCCCCACUCUGUCAUCUAGGUUGGAGUGCAGUGGUGUGAUUUUGACUCACUGCACCCCCUGCCUCCCAGGCUCUAGUGAUCCUCCCACAUCAAUCCCAACACUUCGGGUGGCUGAGAUGGGAGGACUGCUUGAGCCUAGGAGUUUGAGUCCUGGGCAACAUAGCGAGAUCCUGUUUCUACCCAAAUUUUAAAAAUUAACCAGAUGUGGUGGUGUGCACCUGUAGUCUCAGCUACUUGAGAGGCUGAGGUGAGAGGAUUUCUUGAGCCUGGGAAGUUGAGACUGCAGUGAGCCAUGAAUAUGUCACUGCUCUCCAGCCUGGCAACAGAGCAACACCCUGCCUCAUAAAGAAAAUUGUCAACUAAGAAUUUUAUAUCCAGCAAAACAUAAAACAUUUAUCUUUCAAAAAUGAAUGCAAGAGAUAAUUCAUUACUAACUGAGCCACCUUACAAGAAAUAAUAAAGGAAGUCCUUCAGGCUGAAAGCAAGCGACCCAAAAUACUAAUUUGGGAAAACACUAGUCUCGGAUAAAACAGACUUUAAACCAACAAAGAUCAAAAGAGGCAAAGAAGGCCAUUACAUAAUGGUAAAGGGAUCAAUUCAACAAGAAGAGCUAACUAUCCUAAAUAUAUAUGCACCCAAUACAGGAGCACCAAGAUUCAUAAAGCAAGUCCUGAGUGACCUACAAAGAGACUUAGACUCCCACACAUUAAUAAUGGGAGACGUUAACACCCCACUGUCAACAUUAGACAGAUCAACGAGACAGAAAGUCAACAAGAAUACCCAGGAAUUGAACUCAGCUCUGCACCAAGUGGACCUAAUAGACAUCUACAGAACUCUCCACCCCAAAUCAACAGAAUACACAUUUUUUUNNNNNNNNNNNNNNNNNNNN
rnacentral:lncRNA from 1 species